rnacentral:tRNA from 1 species
GGUAGAUGGCGGAAUCGGUAGACGCACCACACUCAAAAUGUGGCGGAAACGUGAGGGUUCGAGUCCCUCUCUAC